AAGCUUAAAUUACCCAACCCAAACAAAAAGAAAAACUCGUCAAAAUGAUAUUUAGCCCUAAUGUUUCCUUCUUGGCUCGUCUCUGCCUCUCACUCUUCUCCCAUCACUUCCUCUUUUAUGUCGUCGUCUUUUGCCUAAGUAUUCUGUAACGCCGACCUCUUCUCCGGCGGCUCCACUGGUUUAUUUAUCUCCGAUUACGUUUUCCUAUGAGGGCAGAGUGGGCAGUUUUGAUUGUCCCCAUCCAUGGUUGUUCGAAAAGGUUGUUGAGGUUUGCAGAGCUUUUAAGUUGAGUUCAUAUCGGGGGCUAUUUUCUACAAGGAUCUAUCUCGUGUCACAGUGAGUUCUACUCAACUUCUUCAUUACCAGACUCGAAGGUACUAUCGGAUUUCUUUUUGUAAAAGCGGACUUUAUAUAUUGAUUUCAGACUCGAUUUGAUUGAUCAGAACGAUUUAAUUUUGCACAACGUCGAUCUAAAAUUCGUCCAGCCUUUUUAGAAUUUAUUUUUCAAGCCAGAAUUGUUCUUUCUUGAUAGAAAUCUUCCUUAAGCAGUUUGAUUUUUAUUAGUAUUUUUUUUUUCAUGGUUUUUACCCUUCCCGGCCCUCAAGUGUAAUCGGUAAAAUAUACCCGGACCAAAAUCCAGUGGGGGCAACUUCUCUCAUUAAACCCCAUUUGGGGGGGGGGGGGUGAAGUUCCGUUGUGGAAUGAAUACCCAAUUUCCAAUCCAGAGAGUCAGACACGGAGGUGGAUAAUUGGUUUGAUAGAUGCUCCAAGUCAAUAUCACGUUCUAGAUAAGAUUAUUCAUUUCUCAAUAACGGAAUUGUGUCGGUUCCCAUUGCAAGGUAUGCGACUUGAAUCUUAAAUCCCACAUCGAAAGUAUUGGCUCUGUGUGUAUGAUUUAUAUAGAUUUGGUUAAACUUUUCUUGUUGGACUGAUUAAUUGCCCCUAAUGAUCCUUAAUAAUUAAUUGAGUAAUUUUUCCCCCUUAUUGAUAUUUGACAAUUGAGUUGGGUUAUUCACUUAAUUAGGUUUGGUUUAAUGUAAAUCUAUUUUCCACUCAAUUAGGUCCGAUUAAUUUCUCUAAACAAAACCUUGAAUUUUCCUUUUGACUAACGUAGUAGUUCUUUCCUAUUGGAUUGAUUAAUGGCCUUCGCAAUAAUUUAUUUUGAGGUUAGUUGAAAUUUAUGCUGUGACCGCCUUUGUUGCCAAAAUUGUAUUCUAAAUUGAUUCAAAAUCUUGGUGUUGAGUGUCCAACCUAACAUGUAUAUUCAUUUGUUCUUGUAUCUAUUUUUGGAAGCAUUUUUAUAAGUUCUAAUUUUGUAGGCUUUUAAAGCAUUUGAAAAUCAGGGUCCAUAGGUAUUUGAGACCUCAGUUAUCAAUCGAUAUCACUAAAAUACUCUGAUGGGAAGAAAGAAGCCAAGCACCUAUGAGAAUGACAAUGUUACCACAACUCAGGGCGGCCACGGUGGAGGAAAGUUGAAUGUAAAGGCUUGGAAAACUUUGUGGAGAUUCUUUAUCAGGAGACGAAGGUUGCUAAACAGCUAAUUGGGGAUUGCAGGGAGAGAAACAGAUUUUAUCUUUUUGUGAAUUCCAGGUCAAUUGCUAAGAGCAUUGAAGACAUUACCAAAGAGAUUACCCAUGCAGUGAGUUGCAUUCCUUUGGCUUCUAUAGAUAUUUCACUAGGGACCAGAGAAGAUAUUGACCAGCUAGUUGAUAACAUGAGAAAUGAUAAAUUUAGGGCUGCCAUUGCGGAAGAAAAGAUUUUGGGAAAAAUAGAAUCAGGAACACAGGAAAGGAAUGUUGAUCGCUCCUAUGCCUAUAAUUUGCUUGUCUCUAUUGCAAAGGCUGUUGGAGUUCCAACUGAUUGAGCAUCAUUGAAAAAGGAGCUUGAAGAAUUUAAGAGCGAAAUAGAAAACUUACAUUUGAGGAAAGACAAGGCUGAAGCCAUACAGAUGGAUCAAAUUAUUGCUUUGCUAGAAAGGGCAGAAGUAGCAUCGUCUCUGGAGGAUAGAGAAAAGAAGUAUUAAAUGAAGAGAACAUCUUUAGGUAAUCAGCCUUUAGAACCUCUCCAGUCCUUCUACUACCCAAUAACUAAAGAGGUAAUGGUUGAUCCUGUGGAAACUCCUUCAGGACAUACAUAUUUGAGGAGUGCCAUAGCGAAGUGGUUGGAAAAGCAAGAUGGUCGCUAAUGUCCCAUGACCUUGACUCCACUAGAAACUUCAAUGCUGAGGCCUAACAAAACGCUAAGGCAAUCUAUUGAAGAAUGGAAUGACAGAAACACCAUGAUCAUUCUCGCUUGCUUGAAAUCUAGACUAUCAUCUGGAGAAGAUGAGAAAGUGCUUCAAUGCUUAGAACAGCUGCAAGAUCUAUGUGGUCCUUCCCUUGUACUAAUUUGAAUUUUAUGGAGUAUAUUCCUUGACUUGGAGCGCUAGCUGUGGUUGAUUCUAGGAAAUCUUUUUCCAGUUACCGAAAAUUUAUAUGCUACUAAUCAACUUAUUAGACUCAAUAAAUUUAUUACUCAUUUAUAGCUGUGGUUGUAUUUAUAGGCUAACUUAUUUUCUUUGAUACAAGUACUUUGGUUUUUUUAAGUGUGUAAGAGAAGGAUUUGUGA